rnacentral:rRNA from 1 species
GAUGAACGCUAGCGGCAGGCUUAAUACAUGCAAGUCGAGGGACAGCACAGGUAGCAAUACUGGGUGGUAACCGGCAAACGGGUGCGGAACACGUACACAACCUUCCUUUAAGUGGGGGAUAGCCCAGAGAAAUUUGGAUUAAUACCCCGUAAUAUAGUUGAAUGGCAUCAUUUGAUUAUUAUAGCUACGGCGCUUAAUGAUGGGUGUGCGGCUGAUUAGAUAGUUGGCGGGGUAACGGCCCACCAAGUCUACGAUCAGUAGCUGAUGUGAGAGCAUGAUCAGCCACACGGGCACUGAGACACGGGCCCGACUCCUACGGGAGGCAGCAGUUAGGAAUAUUGGUCAAUGGACGCAAGUCUGAACCAGCCAUGCCGCGUGAAGGAUUAAGGUCCUCUGGAUUGUAAACUUCUUUUAUUUGGGACGAAAAGGGGCCUUUCUAGGUCAACUGACGGUACCAGAUGAAUAAGCACCGGCUAACUCCGUGCCAGCCGCCGCAGUAAAAC